rnacentral:rRNA from 1 species
GAACCGUACGAACGUUAUUCGGGAAUCACUGGGCUUAAAGGGUGCGUAGGCGGCCUGGUAAGUUGGGUGUGAAAGCCCUCGGGCUCAACCGAGGGAAUUGCGCCCAAUACUGUCAGGCUCGAGGGAGACAGAGGUGAGCGGAACUGAUGGUGGAGCGGUGAAAUGCGUUGAUAUUAUCAGGAACACCGGUUGCGAAGGCGGCUCACUGGGUCUCUUCUGACGCUGAGGCACGAAAGCUAGGGUAGCGAACGGGAUUAGAUACCCCGGUAGUCCUAGCUGUAAACGAUGAGCACUAGGUCGGAGGCCCUUCCACAGGCUUCCGGUCGUAGCGAAAGUGUUAAGUGCUCCGCCUGGGGAGUAUGGUCGCAAGGCUG